GUCAUGGGCACCAGGCUGGCGCUAUCACAUGGAUGGUCCUCCUGGGAGAUGGUCUACACAACCUCACUGAUGGGCUGGCCAUAGGUGCUGCCUUCUCUGAUGGCUUCUCCAGUGGCCUCAGUACCACCUUAGCGGUCUUCUGCCAUGAGCUGCCCCACGAACUGGGUGACUUUGCCAUGCUGCUCCAGUCAGGGCUGUCCUUUCGGUGGCUGCUGCUGCUGAGCCUCGUGUCUGGAGCCCUGGGAUUGGGGGGUGCAGUCCUGGGGGUGGGGCUCAGCCUGGGCCCUGUCCCCCUCACUCCCUGGGUGUUUGGGGUCACUGCUGGGGUCUUCCUCUAUGUGGCCCUUGUGGACAUGGUGAGAGAUGUCGGGUAGAGCAGAGAAAUCAAGGGCAGUGGGGAGGCGGGAGUGGAGAAGGAGGUAGCAGUCCCUCCGCCUCUACCAUUAGCUCCUGGAAGGGCGUCAGACCACAGGCCCGCAAAAGUCUGAGAAACAAGGGACUUGAGGUGUUUGGGUGGGGGCUGCUGAUGCUUUCUGACACCCUUCCUCUGGUGUUCAGAGGUCAGGGGCAAGGCCAGAAUCCUGACAUCCUCUUUUUCUUUCAGCUACCAGCCCUGCUUCGUCCUCCGGAGCCCCUGCCUACGCCCCAUGUGCUCCUGCAGGGGCUGGGGCUGCUGCUGGGGGGUGGCCUCAUGCUUGCCAUAGCCCUGCUGGAGGAGCGGCUACUGCCCGUGACCACUGAGGGCUGACCGGGCCAGUGGAAAGGGGUUGGGUUGCCCUUCCUUCCCCCCAGGCACAGGAAUGGAGGCGGGACACAGGGCCAGUAGGAGCA
rnacentral:sRNA from 1 species